AUUGAACGCUGGCGGCAUGCUUUACACAUGCAAGUCGAACGGUAACAGCACUUCGGUGGCUGACGAGUGGCGAACGGGUGAGUAAUACAUCGGAACGUGCCUAGUAGUGGGGGAUAACUACUCGAAAGAGUAGCCAAUACCGCAUGAGAUCUAAGGAUGAAAGCAGGGGACCUUCGGGCCUUGCGCUACUAGAGCGGCUGAUGGCAGAUUAGGUAGUUGGUGGGAUAAAAGCUUACCAAGCCGACGAUCUGUAGCUGGUCUGAGAGGACGACCAGCCACACUGGGACUGAGACACGGCCCAGACUCCUACGGGAGGCAGCAGUGGGGAAUUUUGGACAAUGGGCGCAAGCCUGAUCCAGCAAUGCCGCGUGCAGGAUGAAGGCCUUCGGGUUGUAAACUGCUUUUGUACGGAACGAAAAGCCCUCUUCUAAUACAGGAGGGUCAUGACGGUACCGUAAGAAUAAGCACCGGCUAACUACGUG
rnacentral:rRNA from 1 species